GCCUACACAUGCAAGUCGAACGGUAACAUGGAUUGCUUGCAAUCUGAUGACGAGUGGCGCACGGGUGCGUAACGCGUAUGCAAUCUACCUUUUACAGGAGAAUAGCCCAGAGAGAUUUGGAAUAAUGCUCCAUAAUAUCAUUUAUCAGCAUUGGUUUAUGAUUAAAGCCCCGGCGGUAAAAGAUGAGCAUGCGUUCUAUUAGCUAGUAGGUGAGGUAACGGCUCACCUAGGCUACGAUAGAUAGGGGCCCUGAGAGGGGGAUCCCCCACACUGGUACUGAGACACGGACCAGACUCCUACGGGAGGCAGCAGUGAGGAAUAUUGGACAAUGGAGGAAACUCUGAUCCAGCUAUGCCGCGUGCAGGAUGACUGCCCUAUGGGUUGUAAACUGCUUUUAUAUAGGAAGAAACACUCCCACGUGUGGGGGCUUGACGGUACUAUAUGAAUAAGGAUCGGCUAACUCCGCGCCAGCAGCCGCGGUAAUACGGAGGAUCCAAGCGUUAUCCGGAAUCAUUGGGUUUAAAGGGUCCGCAGGCGGCCUGUUAAGUCAGAGGUGAAAUCCUACAGCUCAACUGUAGAACUGCCUUUGAUACUGAUAGGCUUGAGUUAUUGUGAAGUGGUUAGAAUGUGUGGUGUAGCGGUGAAAUGCUUAGAUAUCACACAGAAUACCCAUUGCGAAGGCAGAUCACUAACAGUAUACUGACGCUCAUGGACGAAAGCGUGGGGAGCGA
rnacentral:rRNA from 1 species